rnacentral:misc_RNA from 1 species
GAUGAAGAACGCAGUGAAAUGCGAUAAGUAAUGUGAAUUGCAGAAUUCAGUGAAUCAUCGAAUCUUUGAACGCACCUUGCGCCCUUUGGCCAUUCCGAAGGGCAUGCCUGUUUGAGUAUCAUGAACACCUCAACUCUCAUGGCUCGCCAUGAUGAGCUUGGACUUUGGGGGUCUUGCUGGCCUGUGGUCGGCUCCUCUCAAAUGGAUCAGCUUGCCAGUGUUUGGUGGCAUCACAGGUGUGAUAACUAUCUGCGCUUGUGGUUUUCCAUCAGAUAACCUUCAGUGAUGGAGGUUCGCUGGAGCUCAUAAACGUCUCCCCUAAGCGGGGACAGCCCUUUGAAUGUUUGAUCUCAAAUCAGGUAGGACUACCCGCUGAACUUAAGCAUAUCAAUAAGCGGAGGA